rnacentral:rRNA from 1 species
UACGAAGGGGGCUAGCGUUGUUCGGAAUCACUGGGCGUAAAGGGCACGUAGGCGGCGCGACAAGUCAGGCGUGAAAGCCCCGGGCUCAACCCGGGAAUUGCGCUUGAUACUGUCGUGCUUGAGGCCGGGAGAGGAUGGCGGAAUUCCCAGUGUAGAGGUGAAAUUCGUAGAUAUUGGGAAGAACACCGGUGGCGAAGGCGGCCAUCUGGACCGGUUCUGACGCUGAGGCGCGAAAGCGUGGGGAGCAAACAGG